rnacentral:lncRNA from 1 species
UCUUCUUCAGCAAAAGAAAAUGUAGGACUCCCAAGUGGCUUCCAGGGGGUUGUCUGCCCUUGGCCGCACCUUCGUCCAGUUCCCCCAGGGGCAGGUGGCGGUGUCUGUACGUAUGUGUACAUAUGCACAUAGACCUUAGAGUGUAUAUUUAAUAAACGCCCAUCUGCUCACCCAAAGCCCACCAGCGCCGCCUGGAGGGGGCCCAGUAGACAGUUUGGCGUGCCAGGGGCUGUUCUAUACUGUGCAUAUGAUUCAAGGGCAGUGGGGACAUCCUCUUGUCUGGCGCAUGCUGCAGGGGUCCCCUGGAUGAAGCAAGGGCCUGCUCUGGGGGCCUGUUCCAGCUUGGCCGCCCCCUCUGUGACCUUGGGCAAGUCAUUUGACCUCUGUGUGCCUCAACUUCCUCCUCUGUAAAAUGGGGACAGUCCCUGCCCCUCCCUACCUCACAGGCAUGUUGUGAGAAUAAAUGAGGUAACGUGU